UACGGGGGGAGCAAGCGUUGUUCGGAUUUACUGGGCGUAAAGGGCGCGUAGGCGGUCAGCACAAGUCAGUUGUGAAAUCUCCGGGCUUAACCCGGAAAGGUCAACUGAUACUGUGCGACUAGAGUGCGGAAGGGGCAACUGGAAUUCUUGGUGUAGCGGUGAAAUGCGUAGAUAUCAAGAGGAACACCUGCGGCGAAGGCGGGUUGCUAGGCCGACACUGACGCUGAAGCGCGAAAGCCAGGGGAGCGAACAGG
rnacentral:rRNA from 1 species